GCGUGCUGUGCUUAAGAUUGGCCCUAAUGAACCAUCUCAGCUUUCCAUUAAUGAGAAUGCGAAUGGGUUGGCUAGGUAUGCCAUCAUCUGCCAGGAGAAUGGCUUGGUACCAAUUGUGGAGCCUGAGAUUUUGGUUGAUGGACCUCAUGACAUUAAGAAGUGCGCUGAUGUAACUGAGCGGGUUCUUGCUGCUUGCUACAAGGCUCUCAAUGACCACCAUGUUUUGCUUGAGGGAACUCUUUUGAAACCCAACAUGGUGACUCCAGGAUCAGAAUCCGCCAAGGUUGCACCAGAGGUGAUUGCUGAGUACACGGUCCGUGCCCUCCAAUGCACUGUGCCUGCCGCUGUUCCUGCUGUUGUGUUCUUGUCUGGUGGGCAGAGUGAGGAGGAAGCUACCGUCAACCUGAAUGCGAUGAACAAGCUCAAGACCAAGAAGCCAUGGUCCCUUUCCUUCUCAUUUGGACGUGCACUUCAACAAAGUACCCUCAAGGCUUGGGCAGGUAAGCCAGAGAAUGUGCAGAAGGCUCAAGCUGCAUUCCUGGUCAGGGCUA
rnacentral:lncRNA from 1 species